AAGGAUGCUGCGGGGAACUCUAGCAUGGUACAUAGCUGUUCUUAUUUAUUUUCUCUGCUGCAAAGAGCAGUUUAUGAACUAUGUACACAGUUUCACACAUAGCGGGCAGUGCUACGAAAGAUAGAGAAAGUUCCCUUACUGCUGGCAUUCGCAACCCAAAAAUACCAGUGCGUCACAUAUAAAACAGCUGUGCGUCACAUAGUUCGAUGUAAUACUAAGUUUUGUACUUUUGUGUCGCCAAGUAUGAUGCGUUUGUUACUUGGAAGGUGUCACAGAUCGAAACUUAUUUUUCACCCAAACGAGCGGAGUCACGCGUCUCUGUGACUAGCGGCCACAGUGCGUCGUUUGCGCUCGCGACCAGAACAUAGUGCGUCGCAUACUGGGAGCACCAAGCCAUACAAAUACUGGCAAGUGGUUUGACGUAGCCUUACGCCCACUUGUUGUAAUUGUAAUAUUAUCAUCAUCAGCCUAUAUUUAUGUGCACUGCAGGACGAAGGCCUCUUCUUGCAUCUCCAAUUACCCCUGUCUUGCGCUAGCUGAUAUCAACUUGCGCCUGCAAAUUUCCUAACUUCAUUACCUCACCUAGUUUUCUACCGUUCUCGACUGCGCUUCCCUUCUCUUGGUAUCCAUUCUGUAACUCUAAUGGUCCACCGGUUAUCCACCCAACGCAUUACAUGGCCUACCCAGCUCAAUGUUUUCCUCUUAAUGUCAACUAGAAUAUCGGCUAUACUCGUUUGCUCUCUGAUCCACACCGCUCUCUUCCCGUCUCUUAAAGUUAGGCCUAACAUUUUUCGUUCGAUCGCUCUUUGUGCGGUCCUUAACUUGUUCUCGAGCGUCUUUGUUAACCUCAAAGUCUCUGCCCCAUAUCUUAGCCCUGGUGGAAUGCAAUGAUUGUACACUUUUCUUUUCAACGACAGUGGUAAGCUCCCAGUCAGGAUUUGAUAAUGCCUGCCGCAUGCACUCCAACCCAAUUUUAUUCUUCUGCAUAUUUCAUUCUCAUGAUCAGGGUCCCCUGUGAGUAAUCGAGAAAUCUGCAGAGUACAAUCAUCCUCUCUAUAUGUCUUUCAUUGAUUAUGAAAAGGUAUUUUAUUCAGUAGAGAUACCAGCAGUCAUAGAGGCAUUGCGUACUCAAGGAGUACAGGAGGCAUACGUGAAUAUCUUCGCAAAUAUCUACAAGGUUUGCACAGCAACCUUGGUUCUCAACAAGAAAAGUAGAAAGUUACCUAUCAAGAAAGGGGUCAGGCAAGGUUACACAAUCUCUUCAAUGCUAUUCACUGCAUGCUUAGAAGUAUUCAAGCUCUUAGACUGGGAAGGCUUAGAAGUGAGGAUCAACGGUGAAUAUCUCGGCAACCUUCGGUUUGCAGAUGACAUUGUCCUAUUCAGCAACAAUGGGGACGAAUUGCAACAAAUGAUUGAGGGCCUUAACCGAGAAAGUGUAAGAGUGGGGUUGAAGAUUAAUAUGCAGAAGACAAAGAUAAUGUUCAAUAGCCUGGCAAGGGAACAAGAAUUCAGAAUUGUCAGUCAGCCUCUACAGUCUGUAAAGGAGUACAUUUAUCUAGGUCAAUUACUCACCGGGGACCGUGAUCAUGAGAAGGAAAUUUACAGAAUAAAAUUGUAAUACAUGAAAUAGUUAUUCUUUAGGGAAACACGCGGUAUGAGACUUCUCUGACCGCACUACUUGCAUAGCAUCUGCAGCGUUGCCUGCUAAGUAUGAAACUGAGUACUAUAGGAAAUGGGCCAAUUGUGUUCGGUUGUGCGUUCUCCACAGUUUGGGUCAGGCAUGGCUCAUAAGAAAACAUAUCCGAGCAGGCGGAAUCGAACCAACUACUGACCAUUGUGCUGUUUUUAAGAGGAGGCCUUACUGCGGUGGCCACCUCUGGUAUCCCUAUUCAAAUGCACGUGAAACGUAGAAAUGCUCUUGUUGGACAACCGCUGAACCGGUUCGAAUGAAAUUCGAUGCAUUUAAGAGAGAAAGCCAACUUCUACCAACUGUAGGCAGCAUAAUUUUUAUUGCAGGUUGCAUAGUUCCAUAAACCACACGUUACAUCAUAUUACAGUGUUGUCACAAUGCUUACGAGGGCUUUGCGGAAGCCCUACGUGUGAAUUAGUGGUAUAUUUCAUAGUGGUGUAUGGUACAUCAAUUUAGAUGUCUCCAUAGGUGGAGUUUACGGAAUUGUAAUACUGUUGGCAUCAGAAGUUUACGGAACAUGUGGCGCAGUGAAAAAUGGAUGAGACAUAUGCGACUUUGCUGUAAUCAUUGACGAAAGACCAGUGCUGUUGCUUGUUUUCACUGCUAAGAAUCUUGCCACCAUGACGCGAUGCGCUCUCUGGCCAUUGCUUCAUUCCUGUGACUCACAGUUGCUCACGUGAUCUCAUCUGGCACUGCGGAGUGUAUACCGCCGUAAGUAACGUGUGCAAUAAAGCAUUUAAUUUGUAAAGCAAUUUGCGAUGCCCACAUUGGCUGAUAGAGGAAUGCAGCUGUUGACUGUGACAGUCUAAGAAAGCAGUGGCAAACACACCGUUGUCCAAUUCGAAAAGAAUUUGUAUGAGCACACCAGCAAAGUACGUUCGCUCACUUCCGUGACGUCACACCGCACGCAAAUUUCUUUAAUUACCGACAUCUUGUGAGAACUCUGUCCUGCAAUGUAGAGACACAAAGGACAGGCACAAGUGUGGUUUUGUGGGCGCAACCUGUGCUUCUUAGGUUUUCAUUGAGUAUGUACCUUGCACAAUGAUUCAGAUCCAAGUACUUAUAUUCCUGCUUUAGUGAUAGUUCUUAAAUGAACUUCACCCCUUUGCAAGAUGUUUUAGUGGGCCCUGCAGUAACUGUAUGUAAUGUUCCAUGCCUCGCAGAAUUAAGCGAUACACCUGAGAUCUUCCGUGUGAUGAUGUGCAAUGUUUUCUGUAUUCCUGCAACGUUUUGUUGUGGUCUGACUUUUUAUAUCUUUAUAUGCAUAUUUUAUUGUGUCUGCGUGAUCUGUACAUCGCACUUCCCUACUUUGUUUUCUCCGGUAUGUCCUACAAAGUACGCACCCUACAUUUUCCGACUUCUAUUUCUGUAACGGUAAUCAUUCCAAGCAGCCCACUGAGUGUUCUUUUCAAUUACUGAGGCUUUAAUAACUGAUUACUCCUCCUGUAAUUGACCUGCGUCUUUACAGCUUCCUCUGUAGGUGAAAUGCAGCGUCCACUGUAUUCCUCCAGUGUUUCACUCUGAUUCAACUUUUCGUUGUCUUGCAAUUGGCUUGCACAAUUUUCCAAGCGGGAAAAAUUAUUUUAGUAGCAGGAACAGUUUUGCUGUAAAGACAGAGUUUCCUCACCGCCUCGGCUCGCAUCAUCGAAUUGAGUGAUGCAGUCUGUCAGUCACACAUCCAACUGAAAACUGCAGAACUCCGAUUUUAUCCUUCUACAUGCUUCCAGACUGGUUAGAAAAUUUUUAUUUGAUACACGUCCCUCGACUUGCAAUACUUUGGUGAAGACAGCACACCCGGUGUCAUACCUUUAUAAACUAGCUGCAGUCAUGUAAAAGGGAAACCUAAAGGUGAUGGAAACUACUUUUUCUCGCAUCUUAGGCACACGGUCUGUGGCACAUGACCAUUGAAAGCGCACUGCUCGUGCUGUGUUAGUGUGAUGUCCCAAGCUAUUGCCAUUUGCCAACAUGUGUGGCACAUCCUGAUGACGACAUGCUGGCGGCAACAUUUACUGAAGCCGUGCAAACCUUGAAACAGUGGAGCAUGAACGAUGCAGCUUUUUUUUUAACAACAUUAGUACGUAUUGCAGAAUGAAUUGACACACAUUGCGCGCAUAUUACAAGAUGGAUUGAUACACAUUGUUAAUUAUGAAAUGCUCAUUUUUUCAUUGACUACUGCUUUAAAUAUAUGUUUAGUAUGUCCUAGAAAGCGAUAUUACUCACAUUAUCUCGUCUUGGAACAUUUUUGAUUGAAGGUACUGUGUUCUCCCUUUGGCAUGUCUCAAAGAUGCGCAAUGGCACGCAGCUGCAUGGCCUUAGUUUUUCCUAUAAGGGUAUGAUCCCUCACACUUUUUUACUUCUUAUUUUGAAAUGUUGUGACUCCUCAGCAGUAACCUUGAAAAGGUUGCAAAUAGCAGCAUGUUCCCAGGUGAAGGCUAGUUGCAAAACGGCCACGCAAGAACCACUGUGGAACUCCUCUUGACAGCUUUGCUGCAAAAACAUGCAUUUCAUAAGUCGCAUGAAUGCCAGCAUUCAGUUUCAUUUUUCUGCAUGGCGCUUGGUGUGGAACUUUAGUGGCAUGGUGAUACCAUACCUGCCAAGUCUCCCUGAUUACCCGGGAGACUCCCGGAUUUGGACCAUUUCUUCCGGUUGUACGGUUGACAGGAAAAUCUCCCGGAAAUUGCACUUGUGUCCCAUUUCUACCCGCGUCCAACGCCUUGUCAGGUCACAUUGGGAAAAAGAAUCCAACCCAAUCCAAUCCAGUUGGAAGUUCUUCGUGCAAAACAUUACGAGCACAUCAUAAUUGGAUUAGUAGGGAAAACCCUAUACAUGCGCUAUUUCGUUAACCUCGGAGCCGCUGACGGGGUUGUUGGGUGCCCUAGUGGCCCUAUUCUCAUUAAGCUAGCGAGCGAAUGCCGCGUUCCGCAACUAGCAACUCUCGACUCUCCAUCGUUCUCCUCGGUGUUAGCCGCUCUGGCAUUGCGUACGCCUACUGUCAAUCAUGACUUUAAAAUCAAGGAGCACUAGCGCAAAAGGUAUUUUCGAGUAUUUUAAUGCAGUGUUCAGCCGAAGUGACGCUGGGUAUUUUGUUGAUACCAUAGAGCAAUGCAGAGUGCGAGCGGCAAUUUAACAUCGGGAAAAAUACGAGUGCUGCUCGUCCAUGUGUUGCUCGUCUAAGACACUGGGAAACGGCAUCCUCGCAAAAUGUGAAAGAAAUGGAAUUUAUUACAAUCAAACAUUAUCUGCAGAAUUUUGGAACACCCGCCAUUGUGGCUUUGGCACCCACCCGCCUCAGUGGCUUUUGCAUUGCGCUGCUAAGCACGAGUUCGUGGGAUCAAAUCUCGGCGGCGGCGGCGGCGGCGGCUGCAUUUCGUUGUCGGCGAAAUGCAAAAACGACCGUGUGCCAUCCAUAGGGUGCACGUUAAAGAACGCCAGGUGGUAUAAAUUAAUCCGGAGUUCCCCACUACGGCAUACCUCAUAAUCAGAUGGUGGUUGUGGGAUGUAGGACCCGAGAAUUUAAUUAAAUUUUAAAGAAUUUUUGAAGGCUAAAUUAGCAACAACAAAAUGCUUGCAAAAGUGAGACCUUGAUGUUCAUUUGGUCACUUGUAUAUCCGUAAAUAAAAUUAUAAUGAAGUUCCCCUGUCAGUACUUGAAAAUAUAGACGUCGGCGGGGGUAGGGCGUGUUGCGUAACUGUCGGUCGGAAGAUCUCCCGGAUUUAGUUUCUUGGAACUUGGCAGGUAUGCGAUCCAGUCGAACUCAGUUGUAACGAACAGGCAUGUGCGCUAAGAAUAGUUCGACAUAUCAGGCUAUUCGAUUUACCCAAACUCACCAAUAGAGAACACAAAAUUUUGGGAAACAUUCCUUAUAUACAAAUUUGUUAUCUCCAGUGGAGAUGAUAAGCGAGGAAGGAAUUCAUUUGUUAAAAGCAAAGCUCUGCUUAGCAGGCAGUACUUUUUUCGUGUGUUUUUAAAGUGUACCUCAGUGUCACUAAGAAUGACGUUCUUGAUUAGCAGAAUUUUGUAGACCUGUUCUAGUCCACUUCCCUUAAUAUUCUUGUAGUAUUGGCGCAGUAAAUCCACUGCAAAAGUAAGUUCAGAAACUUAAGGCGAGGCGGCUCUUCACCUGGCAGUGAAUGCCCCCCCGAGUUCGAUACGUCCAAUGUCCAUUUCAUUGUGAGGGAGAUAUUUUGUAUCUGUCAGUAAGUUUCAUGCAUUUAAUGUAAUGAAUAAUUUGCUUUAUCCAGGUUUGUUAUACUGUAUUUGAGUUCGACUGUAUUUAGGCGGUGGCACUCUCAUCGCAUUACUCACUUGUUUUUACUUUUUUAGGGCUAAGUGUAAUGUUCUCCAGUCGUUUAUUUAACCAUAGUUUAGCCUGCAACUGCCUUUGUGGCUGUUGAUAUUAUCUCAAGCAGAUGGUACAAGAGUUGCAUAACAGUCGUAGCACACAUAAUGUGAUGAUUGUGCAUGUGGAAUGUGAAAUCCUUGGUACUUGUAGGUGAAACGUGAUGGGGGAGAGUGAUAAACUAUCUCAAUUUCGUUUGAGAGUUUCCUGAUACACUUUUUAAUAGUGUGUGCUGUUGUCUGCUGCAAGGUGGCUAACCUAAGCUUUUGUAAGUUUCUGUAUCAUAUUAGUUUUGAAACUGCAUUUAAGCCAGAGCUAUUCCCCGAUGUCGGUUUGUAAGGGUCAAUUGACUGACACAUCAACAGGGUGAGACAAAAGUAAAUUUUAUUUCGAUGUGGCUGUUGCAGACAUUGCCUAUUGUCUGCUGAAGAGAAAGUGCUUGAAGUGGCAAAUCUCACUCAUCAAAAACAUCUUGACUGGACAGGUUGAUUAUCUUGUUUCACUUAACUGUGCAUGCAUAGAGCUUUUAUUAUGUAUAUAUUUUGUUAUUGUUGUGGUGCUCGGUGAAGUGGUGCAGUUUUGCAGGAAUGGCAAUUUGAAGUUAGCUUUGUGCCCGAAUAUUGGCUAUAAUAUAAGUAUUUUCGUGUCUUAUGGGUUACAAGGUUUGACUGUAUAGGGAAUCUGUAGUAUUGCAGCUGCUCUUCAAGGGCUGCACUGCAGUUUUUACUCCAUUGAUGGUUGACUCACUACAUUGUUCGCUUACUGGCUGAAACAGGGCAACAGGUUGUGGUUACUUCAUUGUGAUGGCCGUGGACAGGCAGAAACUUCCGACCCCCAUUCUUCACUUAGCCCACAGUGUGCUUUAUUUAUGAGGGCUAUGACUUUAUAGUCAUUGUGAAUUAUGAGUGCUAUAAAGCACAAGUCAUCUCAGCAGGAGUUUUCAAGAUGGCUACUGAUAUAAGCAAGAGGAAGGACAUUAAAGCUUCCUUCACAGGUACUCUUAGAGGUUGUAGUUUAGCUUUGUGUGUAAGAGCCUACAGUUACAUCCUUGUGAAGGGUUUACAAAUCUUGACGUAGUUGGUGUAAUCUUGUCGCUCUUUUUUUAUGCAUUUCCUUACGCUUUUUGUUAAAGCAAAGGUUAACGAGGCUCCGCUGAAGCUUUACAGUGACAUUGUUGUGUGAACUGUGUCUGGCCUCACUGAUUGGUUGGCAUUACACCAAAACUUUUCAUUUGACAGCACCACCACACUUGUUUGUUCCAUUUACUCCUCUGAUCCCAGUGCAGGGGGCCCAUAUUUACCACAUAGGUAUGUUGCGAUGUGUGCGUUGUGGUGAUGAGCUACCAUGACCUCUGUACCGUAAAACACUGCAGAUCAUCAUUGACCUGCACACAAACAUUAACCACUGUGAUUGCAACCGAGACAGUGGCGUGGUGAAAGGCCAGGCACUAGCUAAUCGCAAAUCACACUUUGGUAAGAGAAAUUGGGGAAAUCUGGGCCCAGAGUUCAGGCCUGUAUACAUACACUUCUUCACGAAAGUUUAAGACACAGAUUCCAAGACAAAUGUGAAUUUAUGCUGUUAAAGGGACACUAUAGACAAAUAUUAAGUCAAGCUAAAGUGAUCGAUUAGUACUCAAGAAUCUCUAAGGCGUCAAUAUUAUUGCGAACAGAGCCUUAGUAAUCGAGAAUUUGAGGUAAAUGCAGGACACAAUUUAGAGACUCCCUUGGGACAUUCAAGUACUUGCACGAUGAUGAAGGCACUCUUUUAAAUUCUCUCACUAGUACUGAACCACUCAUUAUAAAAACAUAAUUUUAUUGCAUUAUGUAAGACGAAAGAAAAUGCUGCUUGUUCAGUUCUAUUUCAUUUUUAGGAAAAACAACUAAUUGACAUUACCCUUGACGACGACAUGGGCGGUCGAAAGGUCUCGUUUUCCUUCGACUGUGCGCCGCCCGCACUUUUGCGUUCCAGUAGUUUCGUGAUCGCGUAGUGCUAUGCUGGUUUCGCUGGAUCGUGCAACUCGCACAAACUGCAAGUAGUGGAGAAUUCCACUUCCAUGUGAUGUCGCGGGAUGCCCAAUCGAUUCACGCCACUUGACCAAAAGCAACUGCAGCGGCAAAUCCACUGCUCUUUCUUGGCUCAGUUUCUCCAUGGCCGGAUGUUUGCAUUUUGUGCAAACAACCGUACCGCCGUCUGUCGGACACCGUUUUACUCACCGACGGCAGUAAAGGGUGGUGAUGGCAUGUGCAACAUCACCACUCAGUUGGGUGACGGGAGAUUUGAAUUGUGAUCAAGGUAUUUAAACCUUCAGAUGCAAUUUCUCGUUAACUAAGCCUUUUCUUGGCACGAAACAAGCGUUGCAAGGUUUCUGGAAUGGUAUUUAAGAAGUCCACGGCGACUUAAUAUUUGCCUUCAGUGUCCCUUUAAGGCACGGUGCUACUAAUUUAUUUAAUCGCUAGUGUAGGUUGUAAUACUAUUACAGAUUGACACUUUGAAUUCAAGACAAUGUGCCAUGGCUUUGCAGGAAUUAAGGUCUUUCGCAAAUACCACUGUAACUUCUGUGGCCGAUGACAGAGCCCUGAAACUGGCCAUAUUCUCGUUUCGUAGGUGGCAUGGCCACACAUUUCUGGCCACAUCUAUGCUCAGCUGUCUUUUUCCAUCUUCAUAUACGAGGUAGUGAAAGCGUCCUCUAAUUGACUUCAAAUGUUACUGUCUGCAUGUUGAAUGUAUGAAUGCCAUUCUGAUACGAUUGCCAAUGGAUUAAUGUUCAUUCAUGCUCUGCAUUGUUUGUACCAUGUACAAGCACACAAUCAUUUAGAUGAUUCCAUGCUUCACUUCCAUGAAUUGUGGCAAUCCUAAGUAGUAUUUGAAUUGUAUAAAUAAACCCUCCCCUGUUAGCGUUACAAUUUUAAUACUCUUGUCCCUCGCAAACUGCAGGACAUUUCGCUCAUUCUCAUGCUAGAAUGACUCACUGUGUAGUUGCUGGUGCUUUAUUGGCCCUGUAAGAAAAUGCAUAUGGGUCACUGAUUCUGCAUUUUGGAAUGUUUUGUAUAGUUAUGAUCUACUCACUGCUUUUUCUUUUGAGAUUGUGUCCCACAAUCUGUGGAAGACAGAUUAAGACAGAAAGCCGAUGACUUCGUUGGCAUGAAUAUGUAAAUACAAUGUGCCACUGGCAAGCUCAGAUCACGCCAACAUUUUUUAAACUUAGUAUUUGCAGCUUACACUCUCAUGAGAGAUGGAGAAUAUUUGCAAAUGUAUCUACUCUAUGUGGUGACAAUAAAUGAUAAUAAAACCUGGCAGUUCACUGAAAAGAAA